AUCACCUGGGAACCAGUUAGAAAUACAGGGUCUCGGGCCCCACCCCAGAGCUACCAAAUCAGAAUCUGCCUCUUACCAAGAUUCCCAGAGCUGCAAGCAAAGAAUGGAAAUUUCCAAUUGCAGCAUCGAGGGCUGCUGUUCUGCUGACUGUCUUGCUCAGCCAGGGUCAUCUGCUUCUCUAAGACAUCAAGGAAUGCCAAGGUAAAUAGGAAGAAGCAAAGAAGCAAUUUGCUUCGUAGCCUCCAUUGACGGCCUAGAGCACCUAACGAAGAUGUGCCAGGGCUACUCACUUCCACAAGCUUCCAGUUCUCAGAUGGAGGUUCAACAGAGGCUAAAAGUGAUUCAACACUUUAAGAAUCGGCUCUUGCAAUCAACCAUGUGUCACCAGAGCACGGUGCAAGAUUGUACCUGAGUGAACAAUAAGUUGUAAGCAGACAUAAGUUGAUAGGUGGGCCUGCUGACGUCUGAGUUGGAAGCUAUUCUUUUCUGACUUCUUUUUCCUCCUUCAUGACUGGAAUAUACAUGUGAUGGCUGGAGCUGCAGAAGCCAUCU